rnacentral:rRNA from 1 species
GACGAACGCUGGCGGCGUGCUUAACACAUGCAAGUCGAACGCUGAAGCACCAGCUUGCUGGUGUGGAUGAGUGGCGAACGGGUGAGUAAUACGUGAGUAACCUGCCCUUGACUCUGGGAUAAGCCCGGGAAACUGGGUCGAAUACUGGAUGCUACAUGUCACCGCAUGGUGGUGUGUGGAAAGGGUUUACUGGUCUUGGAUGGGCUCACGGCCUAUCAGCUUGUUGGUGAGGUAAUGGCUCACCAAGGCGACGACGGGUAGCCGGCCUGGGAGGGUGACCGGCCACACUGGGACUGCGACACGGCCCAGACGCCUACGGGAGGCAGCAGUGGAGAGUAUUGCACAAUGGGCGAAAGCCUGAUGCAGCGACGCCGCGUGAGGGAUGACGGCCUUCGGGUUGUAAACCUCGUUCAGCAGGGAAGAAGCCACAAGUGACGGUACCUGCAGAAGAAGCGCCGGCUAACUACGUG